rnacentral:misc_RNA from 1 species
UUUCCGUAGGUGAACCUGCGGAAGGAUCAUUCAUAAUAAAGUGUUUUAUGGCACUUUUUAAAAAUCCAUCUCCACCUUGUGUGCAAUGUUAGAUCUCGUCAAUCUUGGCGAGAUUUUUAUACAUCAACUCAUUCUUUAACUAAUUUGUCUGAAAAAUCUUAUGAAUACUUAAUUCAAAAUACAACUUUCAACAACGGAUCUCUUGGCUCUC